UGCCAGGUCGUCUAAUGGUAGGACAAUGGACUCUGAAUCCAUGAAUCUUGGUUCGAUUCCAGGCCUGGCAG
rnacentral:tRNA from 1 species